rnacentral:rRNA from 1 species
UCGGAAGGUGCGGCUGGAUCACCUCCUUUC